rnacentral:tRNA from 1 species
GGGCUCGUAGCUCAGCGGGAGAGCGCCGCCUUCACACGGCGGAGGCCGCUGGUUCAAACCCAGCCGGGCCCA